AGACGGAAGAGAUUGCUUCAUUUUACAGUCACCCUAGAAACGCCUCCGUCCUUCUCAGAAAGGAGAGUUGGCAGCGGGUCUGGCUGGCAUUGUGGGAUCUGUACAGGAUCCGCUCUUUGCUCCCGGUCCACGCCGAAGCUGUCAUCGGCUUAGAAUAGCGGUUAAGAAGUGUGGUGUGGAUGGAUGGACGGACCUACCACACGAAAAGCUCAGAAGCCCAAAUGUCUCCAUCCUUAACCUUAACUUGACUUUUAUAUGCACCCAUUGCUCCUCUGCACAGAGUGGUGUACAAGAAAUGAACAUAACUUGCCAAGCAAGAUGACCAACACCUGUAAUCCCAGCUCCCUGAGGCUGAGAUAGCAUCCUGCAUCCCGAGUCUUAAACAGAAUCUAAUGCAACAAAAGAAGAUUUAUUCUCCACUCCUUAGAAAAGGUCUGUAUUUUAAAACUAUUUCUGCUUUCUCAAUCUCUUUGUUUUAUACUGUAAGACGGAAAGCCUCAAGUACUUGAGUGGCUGCCAGUCAUUCUACUGCAUUCUUGGUAGAAAGAAGCUGGAUAAAAAAGCUAUGGCAUAAAUCAAGUUUGGAAGCAGAUCAGGAGAAUGAAUAGCGUCAACCAGAGAAAUCUGAAAGACGAACACUAGCCUUAAUGGAGAGUCCUUCAACUCAAGACAAGGAAAAGAGACUAUACUUCUAUGAAAAAAAAUUUUAAGAAGAUGUGUUUGUGCCUAUAUGAUCUCCCACCAUGAUGCGCCACCAUCUAUUGCCCUCAUUGAAAGCCAAAACAGUGUCCUCUCAUCAGUCUCCUCAUCUUGGACUUUGAACCUCUAAAACUGGUCUCACUAAGUUGCCCAGGUUGGCCUCAAACUUGGGAUCCUCCUGCCUCAGCCUCCCAAGUAGCUGGAAUUACAAAUGUGCCCACCAUACCAAGCAUGAAGUCCUCUUUGUACUCCAUCUAGUCCUUUUCUCUUCUAACUGCCAACAUGUCAUCACUCCUAGCUACCAAGACACACCCCUAUAUGUAUCUUUCCCACAGGUAUGUAUGCAUGUAUGUAUGUAUGAAAAUCUCUGAUUCUUUUCUUCUAUUAAAUUUUUCUUUUGUGUCUUUCUAAAUUUUACAUAUAUGUGUAUAUAUAUAUUUGCAUUCA
ensembl:lncRNA